rnacentral:snRNA from 1 species
GGAUGUGAGGGUGAUCUGGCUGUGACAUCUGUCACCCCACUGAUCACCAGGGUUGAUUUGGCUGAUCUGUUUGGCUAGGCAGGUGUCCCCUUCCUCCCUCACUGCUCCAGGUGCUUCCCUCCUGAAGCCCGGUCAGAGAAGAUGACCAUCCCCGAGAGAGGAGGACCAGUCUUCAGUCAAGGGUAUAUGAGUAGCUGUGGUCUCCUGCUAGAACCUCCAAACGGGCUGUUACAGCAACACAAAACAGACUAAGACGUGCAUUAUCUAUUUUGUGAAAUUAAAGGUCAUGU